rnacentral:rRNA from 1 species
ACCCGUUCCCAUGCCGAACACGGAAGUUAAGCUCUUCAGCGCCGAUGGUAGUUGGGGGUUUCCCCCUGUGAGAGUAGGACGUCGCUAGAC